AAUGUGCCCUUCCAUAUGGUGAAAUUGCAGCAACAGUCACGUCUGCAGUGAUGAUCUACAUAUCCAUUGUGGGAUUGUGUUUUAUCUUCGCUUUAAAGUACAUGCAGACGUGGAAUCUUCAGAAAAGAGCAAGUCGACUUUGGACAAGAUGAAAGUUGCUGCAACAUGAUGCAAUUUCCUCUGAGUGCCCGUCGCUGUGAUAUCCUAGAAGUUCCAAUCAACAAACUCUUGCAUCUCACUGCCCCAAGAAGGAAAUGUUGGCAAAGAAGUGUAUUUAAGAAGGAAAAAGAGAAAAGUGGUGGGAGUACCAGCAGCGAAAGAAUGCAGGAUCCGUGUCAAUCUGAAUUUUGGAAGAUGUGAUGAGGAAAUGAGAAAAUGAAAACGUUAUUGGAUUUCACAUACUGUACUUUAAGUACAAUCUGUGAGAUAGGUUUCUGUCAUUGUUGAUCCCAGUUUAGCAAAAUAAAGUCAAUCACAAUCAGAUUAAACUUAUUAACUUAAAGGGAAAUGUCCACUUCAGACAGGAGCUGAUAAAGAAAAUAGCCAAAAGUUUGA